rnacentral:tRNA from 1 species
UCCUUGGGGGCCCAGUGGCUAAGACUCUGCACUCCCAAUGCAGGGGGCCUGGGUUCAAUCCCUGGUCAGGGAA